rnacentral:rRNA from 1 species
GCAUUAGCUAGUUGGUGGGGCAACGGCCUACCAAGGCGACGAUGCGUAGCCGGCCUGAGAGGGCGGACGGCCACACUGGGACUGAGACACGGCCCAGACUCCUACGGGAGGCAGCAGUAGGGAAUUUUCGGCAAUGGGCGAAAGCCUGACCGAGCAACGCCGCGUGAGCUUUUAAGGUCUUCGGAUUGUAAAGUUCUGUUAUAGAGGAAGAACGGUGUACGUAGGAAAUGACGUACAAGUGACGGUACUCUGUGAGGAAGCCACGGCUAACUACGUGCCAGCAGCCGCGGUAAUACGUAGGUGGCGAGCGUUAUCCGGAAUCAUUGGGCGUAAAGAGGGAGCAGGCGGCCUGGAGGGUCUAUUGUUAAAAGGCAGUGGCUUAACCAUUGCAAGGCGAAGAAACCGGCAGGCUAGAGUUCUAAAGAGGAUCGUGGAAUUCCAUGUGUAGCGGUGAAAUGCGUAGAUAUAUGGAGGAACACCAGUGGCGAAGGCGACGAUCUGGGAAGAAACAGACGCUGAGUCCCGAAAGCGUGNGGAGCAAAUAGGAUUAGAUACCCUAGUAGUCCACGCCGUAAACGAUGAGUACUAAGUGUUGGGGGUCAAACCU